UGGGGAAUUUUGGACAAUGGGCGAAAGCCUGAUCCAGCAAUGCCGCGUGUGUGAAGAAGGCCUUCGGGUUGUAAAGCACUUUUGUCCGGAAAGAAAUCCUUGGCUCUAAUACAGUCGGGGGAUGACGGUACCGGAAGAAUAAGCACCGGCUAACUACGUGCCAGCAGCCGCGGUAAUACGUAGGGUGCAAGCGUUAAUCGGAAUUACUGGGCGUAAAGCGUGCGCAGGCGGUUUGCUAAGACCGAUGUGAAAAUCCCCGGGCUCAACCUGGGAACUGCAUUGGUGACUGGCAGGCUAGAGUAUGGCAGAGGGGGGUAGAAUUCCACGUGUAGCAGUGAAAUGCGUAGAGAUGUGGAGGAAUACCGAUGGCGAAGGCAGCCCCCUGGCAAGUACUGACGCUCAUGCACGAAAAGCGUGGGGGAGCAAAACAGGAUUAGAUACCCUGGUAGUCCACGCCCUAAAACGAUGUCAACUAGUUGUUGGGGGAUUCAUUUCCUUAGUAAACGUAGCUAACGCGUGAAGUUGACCGCCUGGGGGAGU
rnacentral:rRNA from 1 species